CAGUCGCCACGGUAAUACAGAGGGUGCAAGCGUUAAUCGGAAUUACUGGGCGUAAAGCGCACGCAGGCGGUUGGUUAAGUCAGAUGUGAAAGCCCCGGGCUCAACCUGGGAAUUGCAUUUGAAACUGGCCAACUAGAGUAUGUGAGAGGGGGGUAGAAUUCCAAGUGUAGCGGUGAAAUGCGUAGAGAUUUGGAGGAAUACCAGUGGCGAAGGCGGCCCCCUGGCACAAUACUGACGCUCAGGUGCGAAAGCGUGGGGAGCAAACAGGAUUAGAUACCCCUGUAGUCCCUGUCUCUUAUAC
rnacentral:rRNA from 1 species